UCGCCUGAGGAUGAGCCCGCGUCGGAUUAGCUAGUUGGUGAGGUAAAAGCUCACCAAGGCGACGAUCCGUAGCUGGUCUGAGAGGAUGAUCAGCCACACUGGGACUGAGACACGGCCCAG
rnacentral:rRNA from 1 species